AGGGAAUGGAUUUAAGGACACACAGCAGGAGCUGGCUGGAUUCAUUUUAUUUUGGGGGUAGUUGGGGGAGGAAUAUCAUUUCUGAAAUGCCCAAGGAAUGAAGGGAGAGGAUAUGGAUUUCUUAAACAGUUUUUGCAAGAGGAGCGGUGUCUUGUUUUGCAGGUUCAGCCAAGGCUAGACCUGAAAGCAAUGCAUGGCCACAGCGAAAUGUCCUGUGACUUUUCACCCCGCAUGAGUUCUCCUGAGAAUGGAGCAGGACUAAGGUGGAAUCCCUGUGGGAUAAAGGGCAGAAGAUCAGGUGUCCAAAGGCAUCUCUGUUGGCCCAGCAAGAAGAGUGCUUUAUUGGGGUAGCAGCAUCCACUUCCUAGUGCACAAAUCUCCUACUCAUAUGCCCAAAGCAUACCAUAGCAU
rnacentral:lncRNA from 1 species